UGCAGUCGUGCGGGGAAGGGAGAUUGCUCCCCGAUUUAGCGGCGGACGGGUGAGUAUGCCUAUCUAUCUGCGUGGUAGUGGGGGACAACGUUUUUCAAGGAACGCUAAUACCGCAUACGUCCUACGGGAGUCAGCAGGGGAUCUUCGGGCCUUGCGCUAUCAGAUGAGCCUUAGGUCGGAUUAGCGCCGUUGGUGAGGUAAUGGCUCACCCGGCGACGAUCCGACUUGUGGUCUGAGAGGAUGAUCGCGUCACACUGGACCUGA
rnacentral:rRNA from 1 species